UCAGCUGCAAAUGUAAAUACAUCACAGGUGUCUUAGGUGGAGAGAAGCGAAUUCCGUCCCAAGUUAUUGUCAGUAUCAGGAAUGACUUCUUUUCCAACAGUGCCUGCAGAUCUACUGGGACAAACCCUUGUGCUGUGUUUUGCUGCCUUUCUCUGGCUGCCUCCCCCUGCUCGAGCGCAAAGGCCAGGAAUAUGACAGUCAAGGCUGAGAUACACAGGACAACUCCUUUCUCUUUUAAGGUAGCAAUCUGGUGAAACCCAGAAGGGAAAUGGCAAGACAAAUCUACAUCAAAAUGAAAAGAACAUUAAAUGAAGGAGCUGGAGCAGGUCGUUGCCUUCCACAUUCCUUUUUCUGGACAGGAACCUUAGAAAUUUACCACGGGGGUACGGGAGAAAGAAGCUAAAGUUUUGAGACUACAGUGUUUCAAGAAGCAUACCAAGCCCUUUCUCCCAGCAUUUUUAGGUUAAUGAUACAAUUGUAGCAACCAGCAAAAAUUUGAAUAUUAACAAUA